UACGUAGGGCGCAAGCGUUGUCCGGAAUUAUUGGGCGUAAAGAGCUCGUAGGCGGCCUGUUGCGUCCGCUGUGAAAUCCCGGGGCUCAACCCCGGAACUGCAUUGGAUACUGCCAUGCUAGAGUACUGGAGAGGAGAUUGGAAUUUACGGUGUAGCAGUGAAAUGCGUAGAUAUCGUAAGGAAGACCAGUGGCGAAGGCGAAUCUCUGGACAGUUACUGACGCUGAGGCACGAAGGCCAGGGGAGCAAACGGG
rnacentral:rRNA from 1 species